rnacentral:rRNA from 1 species
CCUACGGGUGGCAGCAGUGAGGAAUAUUGGUCAAUGGGCGUAAGCCUGAACCAGCCAAGUCGCGUGAGGGAUGAAGGUUCUAUGGAUCGUAAACCUCUUUUAUAAGGGAAUAAAGUUCGCGACGUGUCCAGUUUUGCAUGUACCUUAUGAAUAAGGAUCGGCUAACUCCGUGCCAGCAGCCGCGGUAAUACGGAGGAUCCGAGCGUUAUCCGGAUUUAUUGGGUUUAAGGGGUGCGUAGGCGGGUUUUUAAGUCAGCGGUGAAAGUCUGUGGCGCAACCAUAGAAUUGCGGUUGAAACUGGAGGACUUGAGUAUGUUGGAGGCAGGCGGAAUGCGUGGUGUAGCGGUGAAAUGCUUAGAUAUCACGCAGAACCCCGAUUGCGAAGGCAGCCUGCUAAGCCAUGACUGACGCUGAAGCACGAAAGCGUGGGGAUCAAACAGGAUUAGAUACCCGAGUAGUC